GCUGCUUUACAAGUUGUCUGGGGAGAACGGAGAACCACUUUCUUCUUAGAUCCACACGAACAAGCCUGCUGUUGAGGGACCGCCAACCUCGCCCGCCCCUGUGAAUGCUGAUUCGGUUGGUUGUCGUUUUUCAAAAUGCUGUAAAGGAUGCUUCUUUGUCCCCUUUCGCCUAGGCACUGGCAGCUGUCAAAGCAAGCCAUCCUGUCCUUCUGGUGAUUGCAGGUGAAGACAACCCUGGCGACGUGGAAGGUCUUACAAGCUUUCAGACCUCAAUUAGUGACCUCAGGCUUCGAUAAUGGAAAACGCACCUGAUCCGCACCACCGAGACGCACCUUGACCCUGACUCUGUGGCAUCUUCCACGUAAUAACUAAACAAACUGAAGAAUACCUGCGCACCAGAACUUAAUACCAGAAUCCCAUAUCAGAAGCAUGCAUCUUCCCCCGUCCUGGCAGUUAAUAUGUGUGGUACAUUCCCAAACGAGGCCAUAGGGACUCCGUAAAGGCUUAGAGAUCAGACCUUGCUUCAAAUACUACUGGAAAUCAUUUCAAAUACUUUAUCUGGACUUUAUUGAGCUUGCCUGUUGCAAUGGAACCAAUAGACAACUCCCAAACCCAGCCCACCUGACACUCUGGGCAAACUAAAGCAAACCAUCUGAAAAUAUUUGAAAGAUUUGAAGUAGUAUUUGAACCCGGAUAGCACCCUGGGAUGCUGCUGGCACGGAGCCUUUCAAUCAAGCCUGCAAGCCUCCUGAGGUAAAACAUCAGUCACUACCAGAAAACUCUCCUCUCUCGUAAAACUGAGGAACGGCCUUCGCCACAGGGACACCGGCAGCCUGCACAGACAACUUUUACAUAUUCAUUUAUGUUCUGAAGAGUUAUAAUUGAGCGAAGAGGGUGGGCCCGGUGUGUUUGGGGAAAUAUUAAACGGGCCCAUCGGUUGUAGUUUGUGUGUCUUUCAUCACCUUUUAUGGAGGUGCUCUGAACAGGCCAUGUUUAUGUUGCCUUCACAGGUAGAGGGAUUGGAGCCGUGUUCGCAUAAAAGGUAAAAUGAUGGGUGUAAUAGUGUUGCCAUGGAGAGAGCAGACAUUUGAGAAGUGGAGUAACAGCGUGAGUGAUUGACAGCCAUUCAGCACUGGAUUCACUUAUUUUCUCUUAAGGAAUGAUGGAUGUGAGGGGGGAGCUGCCCUGCUCCACAGACUCCAAAGGUGACCUUGACUGAUCAGAAGAAAAGUUUGAAAGACGAUUCAUCCCAAAGACUAAACUGUUGACAAAAAUGGUUGCCGAUGUCACUGUGUUACUCAAACUACAUGCAUUGUAUGCCAUCGCCUUGUAGAUGCUACUAGCUGUCCUUGGAUAUGUACCAUCUUUGGUUUUAGAGACGCACUGGCAUUUUCUGAACGGGUAACUCUUUAUUGGAAGCAUAGCGCCAUAACAACUCAUAACUUGGUCAUAACCAUGUCAUAACUGCUGACAUAAUGGGUCAAAAUCUGUCAUAACAUGACACAUAUAUUUAGACGUGUUGUGACAUGUAUUGCAAUGUUUUGUGUUAAAACAGUGCUCCAAAUGUAGUGUUAACCUGAACACUACUAGCAUGGACACUGUUUUCAGACAAUUUUAAAAAUUUUCACAUUUAAAAAAAAAAUAUAUUUUGAACAUAAAUAAGCCGCACAUGUCUU